rnacentral:rRNA from 1 species
UACGUAGGGUGCAAGCGUAAUCGGAAUUACUGGGCGUAAAGCGUGCGCAGGCGGUUAUGUAAGACAGGUGUGAAAUCCCCGGGCUCAACCUGGGAAUGGCAGUGGAUACUGGAUCGCUAGAGUGUGAUAGAGGAUGGUGGAAUUCCCGGUGUAGCGGUGAAAUGCGUAGAUAUGCGGAGGAACACCGAUGGCGAAGGCAAUCCCCUGGACCUGUACUGACGCUCAUGCACGAA